rnacentral:lncRNA from 1 species
GGGUUCGAAUUUCAUAAAAAUAUAGGGUUUAGGGUUUACGUUUAGGGUUUAGAGUUGAUGUUUUAGGGUUUCGAUUUGAAGGUUUAGAGUUUAGAGUUUAGGGUUUAGAGUUGAUGUUUCAGAGUUUAGGGUUUAGAGUUGAUAUUAAAUGGUUUAGGGUUUAGAGUUGAUGAUUUAGAGUUUAAAGUUGAUGUUUUAAGUUUAGAUUUAGGGUUUAGGAUUUACGUUUAGGGUUUAAAGUUGAUGUUUUAGGGUUUAGAUUUGAAGGUUUAGGGUUUACGGUUUAGAAUUGAUGUUUCGAGGUUUAGGGUUUAGAGUUGUUGUUUCGUGAUUUAGGAUUUAGAGUUGAUGAUUUAGGGUUUAGAGUUGAUGAUUUAGGGUUUAGAGUUGAUGUUUUAAAUUUAGAUUAGUUAACCUUAUGUUUUUUUUUUGUCAAAGUAAAUUAAAAGGUUAUAAAUGUCUUUUACCCUUCAUUAAAGAUGAGGGUAAAAGUGGUUAGUGUAAACAUGAAAAGUAGUACUUUGAAAAUAGUAUUUUUGGCAAUUUCCCUUAAUAAAAUUGCUAAAAGAUUAAAAUGUAAAAAACAAGAAAAUAUAAUGAAAAUUAUAUCUUAUCUAAUAAAAAUGUAAUAAUAAAUCUU